CUUCAACAUCAUUCUUCUCCUGAGACUUGGCCACUACUCAGCAUCUCACCAACACCCAGCAAGCACCUCACAACAUACACCAGACUCCACAGAAAUAGAAAAAUCAGAGAUGGACCUGCUGUGUGGGUCUUGCCCGAAGCUGUCUGUUGAGCUCCAUAGUGUGCUACUCAUACUAGCAGAGGUCAUACUUGUUCAGGUCACAGAGCAUUGCCAACAGCGAGUGGUAGAACUGGCAGGCCUGUCAAGCUGUGGAUGGCAAGGGCAAAGACAAUCCAUCACCAUCAUGUUGCUGUUGUUGCUGCUGGUUUACCUGUAGGAGAAGCAGCACACCACCUUGAUGAGAACUCUGCUCAUCACUGAUGAUCUGUGUGGUUCUCGUCUGCUAGCAGGUCUUAAGUGCUGUUACUUCUACCACCACCUUUCUCCCAACCACACUUCCUAUGAGUACCCAGUGUGUCAGACUUUGUGGACUUGCAGUGAUGUGAGUAACAAGUUUCCCAGUGUACUAAGUUCUAAGACUCCCCAUCCCAGUGAUAUCAUGACUAUUAUUACUUUUAUUUUAUUUAUUAUUUUUUUGUGUGAAAGGUGUCUACUUGUUCUCCAGAGUCUUUGAGGUAUAAUAAAGAUAGGGGAGAGAUAA